UACGAAGGGGGCUAGCGUUGUUCGGAAUUACUGGGCGUAAAGCGCACGUAGGCGGGUUGUUAAGUCAGGGGUGAAAUCCUGGAGCUCAACUCCAGAACUGCCUUUGAUACUGGCGAUCUUGAGUUCGGGAGAGGUGAGUGGAACUGCGAGUGUAGAGGUGAAAUUCGUAGAUAUUCGCAAGAACACCAGUGGCGAAGGCGGCUCACUGGCCCGAUACUGACGCUGAGGUGCGAAAGCGUGGGGAGCAAACAGG
rnacentral:rRNA from 1 species